CUGGCAGGGAAGCGCAAACCUCCUCCACCACCCUGAGCAGCAUCCUGGAGGACAGAACUCCCGCCGACUCCACCAGCCUCACAACAGACGUGCGCAGGAGAUGGCCCAAUUUGGUGCACCCCGCCUCCCUCAGGCGGGACCGCAGAGUGGUAGAUGACAACCCAGGAGAGCUAACAAAGUCACUGAAGAAGAAAGGCUCCUCAAACAGCCGCAUCCCAGGGGUACCUGCCAGAAAAAAGAAGACGAA